rnacentral:rRNA from 1 species
GUCUAUGGCAUGCCACCCUGAACAAGCCCAAUGUCUGAUCUCAGAAGCUAAGCAGGGUCAGGCCUGGUUAGUACUUGGAUGGGAGACCACCUUGGAAGAUGAGGUGCUGUAGGCA